UCUCCUCUCCGUGCCGCUCAUCCCACAUGACUCCUCUCCGUGCUCCCCACCUCGGCUCCAGAGAUGAGAACACUCACUGCUUUGUCUUAUGGCUGUCCUGAAAAUAGGCAGGCUCCUGCAGAGUGUGGUCUGCAGAAUUUUAAUGAGCACAAAGCAGGCGGCUCAGUCCUUCACUGUGAUAUGAGAAGGGUGACGUCAACCUAUCCAGGAAAUACGGAAUUGAUUGUAAGAUUGCUCUGAGGUGUCUCCCACUGAAGGAAGGUCACAAGCAACGAGGCAGCGGCACAUUGGAUCCGAAAUUGCUAAAGGCUGCAAACCAUUGACUACAUUCCCUGGAAUUCUUCGACCUACAUUUCAGCCAAAUACUGGCAGUCCUGACUGGUUCAUUUCACUUGUUCCUCUCAGUUGAAUUGAUCAGCACAAACCAAACUUCAUGGAGGAAUGAUCUGCAAAACUGAUACUGUGGGCCUUGGAGAACAAAUGGAUUAGCCUAUUUAGCAUGUGAUCUGAAGUUGAUCUGAAGUUGUGAUCUGUUGUUGAGUCUAAAGUUACAACCUACAGACUAGCAAGGAAAUCACACACUUGGGUACUGUGCUCCAAGCAAUAUUAUUGAUGGUCAUGAAGAUGUGCUCAGAAAGAGCAACCCCUCAGAGGCUCUUUGACUGAUCUCAGGAACUGCACUCCAUGCUGGAUGGAUUUCUACAAUAAACCCUCCUCAGUGUUUGCCAUCUCUCCCCGUUCUUCAGGAUGUACACACACACACACACACACACACACGAUUUAGGCAGGAAGUGACCAGCCAGAAGAGAUGGAUACAGUGAGAACUAGAUAUUUUAAUUAAGGUUUUGCAAUUCACAGUCAGAAAUGAUGGAGCAACUGCUGCUAUUUAUUAGUUGAGUCUACCAUUAAUUAAUAAGAGAAGUACUGUUGGUAUUUUGAGCACAUGGUAUUAUAAUUAGGACAAAUGUCUCAUUUGUGAGGAAAUUAAAAGUGUAACCCGUAGCAAUGAGUCAAGGUUGACAUGCAUAGACACUAUGCUCCCACAGUCAAGUAACUAAGGAUUCAUUUAUAUUAUUAUAUAUACCUUUCCCUUUUGCUUCUUCUUCUUCUUUUUUUUUUUUUGAAUCUGGUGCCCCGACCGGGACUAGAACCUGGUGUGCCACCGCUGCAAGGCAGAGGAUUAGCCUAGUGAGCUGUGGCGCCGGCCCCCUUUUGCUUCUAAGUUCCUUGGAGGCAGACAUGAAAGUAUCUACCAGCUUCUGUACCGGUGAUAUUUAAAAUUCCCUACCUUGUGUAUAUGACUAGGUCUAGAUUGCUGCACUUGUUACAUAAAAGGCUAUGAGCCUGAUUCAAACAUGGUUUUAUUUGAAGUACAGUCUCUUUUGGAGUGGAUCUGUUUGGACUGUAUCCAGAUGAUUUUAUUGAAGAAUCAAAAAGGAUAUACUUUAAGAUUGUCUGAUCUUCCCUCAACAUGGGCAUAAUUAUGGGGAGACUUUGAUGAACUGAGAACCCAGCUAAGUCAGGUGGCUGCAGGCAGUGGGAAAAAAAAAUGGUGGGUUGGGCUGGCAGGAAGCAGUGGCCAGAAACUAAAUAUUUAGCUAUCUCGUGUAUUACAGGUACCAGAGAAGAGAGUCUUUCUCAUGCUUUAUUGCAUUUUAUCCCCAUAAGAAACUGUAGUGGAAAUUGUAUCUUUACAUGUGAAGAGACAGAGGCUCCUGGGAAUUGAGAGAUUUUAUCAUUAUGAUUAUUAUUUUGGCUUAGGUCAUGCAUAGACGAGGCAGGGUUUAAUCUGGGUACUUCAAAGCAGUGCCGUUUGCAAUACCCAACAACAGGCAACAUUACCCACAAUAGACUUUGGAGUUGCUGUACCUGGAUUGCCUUCAGCUCUCAUACCUACUGUGUGGCCUUAGGAACAUCAUUUAACCUCUCAUGGUGUGUUACUUCAGUCCUCAGCACAAAUAACAAUGCCUUCUCUGUGUUCAUUGUAGGGGUGUCUGGGUAGUUUGAUAAAAUAGCACAUGUCAGAAAUCACUUUGUAAAUUACAAGGCUCUAAAUGACUAUAAAGAGUUAUUAUUAGAUGUACAGCCCUUGACCCAUACCUGAAGAAUGGGAUAUAAAGCAAUUUGAGAGAUACUGGUUCUUUGGUCUAUGAACUUGCAUUCACAAUUUUGUAAAGAUUUCUUUGCUGCAAGGAUCUAUUAAUUAUAGCUGUCAGUCUUCAGUGCACUGCUUAUCUUACUCACAAUUAAUUAUUCCAUAAAUCAAAUAAGCAAGUUGUUGGCAAAUGACAUCUGCAAUCUUUGAGCUGACAGCAAAAUAUAUUAUGAACCAUAAAUAUUGCAAGCCAACUUUUCUUUUUUAGACAUUUGGUGCUGGUACCAGGAACAGAUUAUUGCUAUGAAAAAGCACUUCUGCUUGCUGGUGAUAAUAGAACAUGUCUAGACCUCUCAGCAACUCAGGGGGUAGCUCUUUAAGUUCUGAUCUCAGGUCAGCAGGCUCAUUUGACAAGUUCUGACAAAAGUGGGAUACUGGAAAUUUCAUUGAAAUAACUUUGUCAAGACUUGGUUUGUUCUCAGAACUCUGGUUGUGGAAUACUACUUUUCUGAUUUUUAUGGGACUCUGAUUCCCAAUUCUCCUAACAGCCCCUGAAAUAGUGUCUGAUAAUCAGGGGGUACUCAACAAGGACAGACAUUCUUCUAACUGAAAGGGCAUAGAGACAAUGAGAAAGAUAGACAUAUAGAGGUCUCCCAUCUGUUGGGCCACUCCCUAAAUGCCUACUGUAUGUGAGUGUUGGAACAAACAUUUGAGCCACCUGCUGCCUCCCAGGAUGUGCUUUAGCAUGAAGCUGGGGUCCAGAGCAGAACAAAGAAGUGAA